CAGCAGCCGCGGUAAAACGAAGGGGGCUAGCGUUGUUCGGAAUUACUGGGCGUAAAGGGCGCGUAGGCGGCCAUUCAAGUUAGAUGUGAAAGCCCUGGGCUCAACCUAGGAAUUGCAUUUGAUACUGUUUGGCUUGAGUUCGGGAGAGGUGAGUGGAAUUCCCAGUGUAGAGGUGAAAUUCGUAGAUAUUGGGAAGAACACCAGUGGCGAAGGCGGCUCACUGGACCGACACUGACGCUGAGGAGCGAAAGCGUGGGGAGCGAACAGGAUUAGAUACCCGUGUAGUCCCUGUCUCUUAUAC
rnacentral:rRNA from 1 species